rnacentral:hammerhead_ribozyme from 1 species
AUCCAACUGAUGAGUCUCAAAUAGAACGAAACGCGCAUCCUGGAU